rnacentral:rRNA from 1 species
AGUGAACGCUGGCGGUAGGCCUAACACAUGCAAGUCGAACGGCAGCACAGUAAGAGCUUGCUCUUACGGGUGGCGAGUGGCGGACGGGUGAGGAAUACAUCGGAAUCUACUUUUUCGUGGGGGAUAACGUAGGGAAACUUACGCUAAUACCGCAUACGACCUACGGGUGAAAGCAGGGGAUCUUCGGACCUUGCGCGAUUGAAUGAGCCGAUGUCGGAUUAGCUAGUUGGCGGGGUAAAGGCCCACCAAGGCGACGAUCCGUAGCUGGUCUGAGAGGAUGAUCAGCCACACUGGAACUGAGACACGGUCCAGACUCCUACGGGAGGCAGCAGUGGGGAAUAUUGGACAAUGGGCGCAAGCCUGAUCCAGCCAUACCGCGUGGGUGAAGAAGGCCUUCGGGUUGUAAAACCCUUUUGUUGGGAAAGAAAAGCAGCAGGUUAAUAUCCCGCUGUUCUGACGGUACCCAAAGAAUAAGCACCGGCUAACUUCGUG